rnacentral:tRNA from 1 species
GCCUUCGUGGUGUAACGGUAGUACACUCGGCGAGUAUUCGAGAGGUCCAGGUUCGAAUCCCGGCGAGGGCA